rnacentral:rRNA from 1 species
AGCGUACACGGUGGAUGCCCUGGCAGUCAGAGGCGAUGAAGGACGUGCUAAUCUGCGAUAAGCGUCGGUAAGGUGAUAUGAACCGUUAUAACCGGCGAUUUCCGAAUGGGGAAACCCAGUGUGUUUCGACACACUAUCAUUAACUGAAUCCAUAGGUUAAUGAGGCGAACCGGGGGAACUGAAACAUCUAAGUACCCCGAGGAAAAGAAAUCAACCGAGAUUCCCCCAGUAGCGGCGAGCGAACGGGGAGCAGCCCAGAGCCUGAAUCAGUGUGUGUGUUAGUGGAAGCGUCUGGAAAGGCGCGCGAUACAGGGUGACAGCCCCGUACACAAAAAUGCACAUGCUGUGAGCUCGAUGAGUAGGGCGGGACACGUGGUAUCCUGUCUGAAUAUGGGGGGACCAUCCUCCAAGGCUAAAUACUCCUGACUGACCGAUAGUGAACCAGUACCGUGAGGGAAAGGCGAAAAGAACCCCGGCGAGGGGAGUGAAAAAGAACCUGAAACCGUGUACGUACAAGCAGUGGGAGCACGCUUCGGCGUGUGACUGCGUACCUUUUGUAUAAUGGGUCAGCGACUUAUAUUCUGUAGCAAGGUUAACCGAAUAGGGGAGCCGAAGGGAAACCGAGUCUUAACUGGGCGUUAAGUUGCAGGGUAUAGACCCGAAACCCGGUGAUCUAGCCAUGGGCAGGUUGAAGGUUGGGUAACACUAACUGGAGGACCGAACCGACUAAUGUUGAAAAAUUAGCGGAUGACUUGUGGCUGGGGGUGAAAGGCCAAUCAAACCGGGAGAUAGCUGGUUCUCCCCGAAAGCUAUUUAGGUAGCGCCUCGUGAAUUCAUCUCCGGGGGUAGAGCACUGUUUCGGCAAGGGGGUCAUCCCGACUUACCAACCCGAUGCAAACUGCGAAUACCGGAGAAUGUUAUCACGGGAGACACACGGCGGGUGCUAACGUCCGUCGUGAAGAGGGAAACAACCCAGACCGCCAGCUAAGGUCCCAAAGUCAUGGUUAAGUGGGAAACGAUGUGGGAAGGCCCAGACAGCCAGGAUGUUGGCUUAGAAGCAGCCAUCAUUUAAAGAAAGCGUAAUAGCUCACUGGUCGAGUCGGCCUGCGCGGAAGAUGUAACGGGGCUAAACCAUGCACCGAAGCUGCGGCAGCGACGCUUAUGCGUUGUUGGGUAGGGGAGCGUUCUGUAAGCCUGUGAAGGUGUGCUGUGAGGCAUGCUGGAGGUAUCAGAAGUGCGAAUGCUGACAUAAGUAACGAUAAAGCGGGUGAAAAGCCCGCUCGCCGGAAGACCAAGGGUUCCUGUCCAACGUUAAUCGGGGCAGGGUGAGUCGACCCCUAAGGCGAGGCCGAAAGGCGUAGUCGAUGGGAAACAGGUUAAUAUUCCUGUACUUGGUGUUACUGCGAAGGGGGGACGGAGAAGGCUAUGUUGGCCGGGCGACGGUUGUCCCGGUUUAAGCGUGUAGGCUGGUUUUCCAGGCAAAUCCGGAAAAUCAAGGCUGAGGCGUGAUGACGAGGCACUACGGUGCUGAAGCAACAAAUGCCCUGCUUCCAGGAAAAGCCUCUAAGCAUCAGGUAACAUCAAAUCGUACCCCAAACCGACACAGGUGGUCAGGUAGAGAAUACCAAGGCGCUUGAGAGAACUCGGGUGAAGGAACUAGGCAAAAUGGUGCCGUAACUUCGGGAGAAGGCACGCUGAUAUGUAGGUGAGGUCCCUCGCGGAUGGAGCUGAAAUCAGUCGAAGAUACCAGCUGGCUGCAACUGUUUAUUAAAAACACAGCACUGUGCAAACACGAAAGUGGACGUAUACGGUGUGACGCCUGCCCGGUGCCGGAAGGUUAAUUGAUGGGGUUAGCGGUAACGCGAAGCUCUUGAUCGAAGCCCCGGUAAACGGCGGCCGUAACUAUAACGGUCCUAAGGUAGCGAAAUUCCUUGUCGGGUAAGUUCCGACCUGCACGAAUGGCGUAAUGAUGGCCAGGCUGUCUCCACCCGAGACUCAGUGAAAUUGAACUCGCUGUGAAGAUGCAGUGUACCCGCGGCAAGACGGAAAGACCCCGUGAACCUUUACUAUAGCUUGACACUGAACAUUGAGCCUUGAUGUGUAGGAUAGGUGGGAGGCUUUGAAGUGUGGACGCCAGUCUGCAUGGAGCCGACCUUGAAAUACCACCCUUUAAUGUUUGAUGUUCUAACGUUGACCCGUAAUCCGGGUUGCGGACAGUGUCUGGUGGGUAGUUUGACUGGGGCGGUCUCCUCCUAAAGAGUAACGGAGGAGCACGAAGGUUGGCUAAUCCUGGUCGGACAUCAGGAGGUUAGUGCAAUGGCAUAAGCCAGCUUGACUGCGAGCGUGACGGCGCGAGCAGGUGCGAAAGCAGGUCAUAGUGAUCCGGUGGUUCUGAAUGGAAGGGCCAUCGCUCAACGGAUAAAAGGUACUCCGGGGAUAACAGGCUGAUACCGCCCAAGAGUUCAUAUCGACGGCGGUGUUUGGCACCUCGAUGUCGGCUCAUCACAUCCUGGGGCUGAAGUAGGUCCCAAGGGUAUGGCUGUUCGCCAUUUAAAGUGGUACGCGAGCUGGGUUUAGAACGUCGUGAGACAGUUCGGUCCCUAUCUGCCGUGGGCGCUGGAGAACUGAGGGGGGCUGCUCCUAGUACGAGAGGACCGGAGUGGACGCAUCACUGGUGUUCGGGUUGUCAUGCCAAUGGCACUGCCCGGUAGCUAAAUGCGGAAGAGAUAAGUGCUGAAAGCAUCUAAGCACGAAACUUGCCCCGAGAUGAGUUCU